AGUUUUGUCACGUAUAUGCUGUUGUCAAUGUCAAAUGUCAAUGUCAGGGCAAAAGCAAAGCAAAUUAGCAAAACUGAAAACAAAAAUAUUUUUAAUUUAAUCUAUUUACAAAGAAAAUUAUUGUUUCACUUAAGAAUUAAAUUGUAUUUUAAUAAGCAAAUCCUUAAAGAGUUCAAUAAGUAGUAAUGAACAAUUAUCAAAAUGAAAAACAAAAUAAACGCUAUCGCAAAAAGUAUCACUUUAUGAAAUUACAAGUGAAAAGUUUUAUAAUAGAAAACGCUGCUUUAUGUGAUGAAGUGGCCAAAAUUCAAGAAAACAUACAAAUCGUAAAAGACGAAAGAAAAUUUCUACUUCGAAAACUUCUUGAAUAUGAAAAUGAUGUAGACAUAGGACACACUUUUUACACACAUGAAUCGCUACCCAUGUCAAAUGGCUCAAAAACCAAAGCAAAAAAAAGAAAUACAGGCAACCUUGAAGAUACCACUAAAAAUAUAUGAGCCAACUGGAUGAUGUUAAGACAAUAAUGAUUUUUAUGUGUAUUUAUUUAUUAUAUUAGUGACCUGUUAAGAUAAAUGCUAAUAAUAAGCUGAAUAUGACUAUAGAAUCAACUAAAUGAAGACAAAACCUUAAUUAUUGUUAGUAAUAAACAAAACAGCUAUACCCAA